ACGGCCUUCGGGUUGUAAACCUCUUUCAGCAGGGACGAAGCGAAAGUGACUUUACCUGCAGAAGAAGCACCGGCCAACUACGUGCCAGCAGCCGCGGUAAUACGUAGGGUGCGAGCGUUGUCCGGAAUUAUUGGGCGUAAAGGGCUCGUAGGCGGUUUGUCGCGUCGGGAGUGAAAACUCAGGGCUCAACCCUGAGCCUGCUUCCGAUACGGGCAGACUAGAGGUAUGCAGGGGAGAAUGGAAUUCCUGGUGUAGCGGUGAAAUGCGCAGAUAUCAGGAGGAACACCGGUGGCGAAGGCGGUUCUCUGGGCAUUACCUGACGCUGAGGAGCGAAAGUGUGGGGAGCGAACAGGAUUAGAUACCCUGGUAGUCCACACCGUAAACGUUGGGCGCUAGGCGUGGGACUCAUUCCACGAGUUUCGUGCCGCAGCUAACGCAUUAAGCGCCCCGCCUGGGGAGUACGGCCGCAAGGCUAAAACUCAAAGGAAUUGACGGAAUCGAAUU
rnacentral:rRNA from 1 species